GGUGUAUUUUGCAAAUGUCAGCACUCUUAAUUUUUUUUUCCCCUCUGUGGACCAAAUGUGGAAAGCUACAAGAGGACAGUGCUAAAUGAUUUCAGUUGAUUUAGCAGUGGUAAGGCAAGUCGUUAGCGAAGUGCUUUAUGAAGCCAUAAAAGUCCUUUCCAAGUCCUUUAUGGGAUUCUUGGGGAAAAUCCGUUUGUCACAGAAUAUUAUGCACUGACUGCUCCUGAAGAACAAAUGGGUGGGAGAAAGCACAGUUCUGCCCCUCACCUUCAGACACAAAUGGCAACGCACGCCCCCAGGCAGCUCUGCUCCCCCAGGUUCUGCAAAGCUGGCUCCAAAGCCCCAACUCUUGUCAUGGCUUGUGGGAAGGUGGAUGAGAUGCAGCCAAGGGACAUAGGAAGACAUAUGGUUCAUGAUAAAAACAUCUAUCAGAUCCCAGGAGAAGAGCAGGGAGCAGUUCAGAAGUGCUGGGCAGAAGAGAAUCUCUAGAUGAAUAGUUUUUGACCCACAGUUUCUUGCAUAUUGUAGUGAAAAUGCUAACUCACUGCUUGAAGCUGUGAUUGAGCACCUGGUGGAAGGCAGGGCCAACUCAGGGGAGCUCAGGUGUGUGCAAUGUACUGAAUGACCUGAAGGGCUGGACCAAGAUCCACCCCUGCCCAGACCUCAUUCAAGGGUUGGCAGAAGAGGCAAGGAUGUUUCUCUAGAGAUCCUUGUGUACCUGAGACUGAAGGUAAGCAGCUUCAUUCACUUCUUUUUAUGUUAAUGGCUGUUGUGUUUGAGUGUCUCCCCACUCACUGUAGCCUGGGAUUUUGCUGCUUUGCUGUCACUGUUGCAUUUUCUCUCGUGUUACGCACGCGUUCAGCUGAACUCUGGUGCGUGAUUUCUCCAUCACUUUUAUUAUUUUUGUGAAACUCUUAGUGGGUAUUUGUUUCUUGCCUAUCUCUUGAACUCCAGGAAUAAUCAGGGUCUUCAUUAAACAGGAUCCUCUGCUAUAGCCCUGAUCUCCCUGUCUGUGGCAAUUAGAGCAUCUGCCCUUUGCUUGACGAAUGGUUUGGCUUGGAAGGGACCUUUAAAGGCCAUCUGGUCCCGCUCCCUAGAAUGAACAGGGACCCCACAGCUCCACUAGGUGCUCACAGCCCUGACCUUUGGCCUCAGAUGUCUCCAGGGAUGGAGCAUCCACUUCCUCUCUUGACAAAAUGUGCCAGUGCUUUCUACCUUUGUUGCAGGCUUCUCAUUGGGCUGUAAAGCACUCUGGUGUUUACUGGCUGCUGAUGUCAAUCUGUAGUAGUAGCUGAAGACCUUUGUCUGGUGCUUGGUUUAAAGGAAUCUUCACUGUGAAUCAAUCAGUGAUUUGGAUAGCGUAGAGAUUUUCCCAUCUUUUGUAUCGUGUUGGAGAAUUAAGUCAUUCUCUGAGUCAAUGCAUGUGUGUCUGUGUGAAUAGAUGUCCUUGCAGAGAAUGGUGCAACCAUGGUUACUGGCUUAUUGGUGC
rnacentral:lncRNA from 1 species